GUAAAGUUAAUACCUUUGCUCAUUGACGUUACCCGCAGAAGAAGCACCGGCUAACUCCGUGCCAGCAGCCGCGGUAAUACGGAGGGUGCAAGCGUUAAUCGGAAUUACUGGGCGUAAAGCGCACGCAGGCGGUUUGUUAAGUCAGAUGUGAAAUCCCCGGGCUCAACCUGGGAACUGCAUCUGAUACUGGCAAGCUUGAGUCUCGUAGAGGGGGGUAGAAUUCCAGGUGUAGCGGUGAAAUGCGUAGAGAUCUGGAGGAAUACCGGUGGCGAAGGCGGCCCCCUGGACGAAGACUGACGCUCAGGUGCGAAAGCGUGGGGAGCAAACAGGAUU
rnacentral:rRNA from 1 species